UUCUAUUCACGGAGGAGUACUUUUCAAUUUUCAGUUCUUCAAAAUAUUUACCUCUCUUCAUUUUCUUAUCAAUGUCCUACAAUUUCGGCGAUGAUUCUCUCCCAAUAUUCUCUCUGUCUUCUUUUUUUUCUUUGAUUUUUUCAAAUCUCUGAACAGUUUCCAAUUCGAGGCAUCAGGUUCGUCCAAGAAAAAAGCCCUAACAGUGCCAGUUCACCCUUUCCGAAAUUCACUCCGUUUUUUAUUUGAUUUAGGUAAGUUUUUAACUAAUAUAUUGAUAUUCUUUAUUAUUUUGAGUUAUGUGGACAAUAUAUAUAUAUACACACACACACACACACACACACACACACUAAGGCUUUGAAUAUAUUGGAUCCCCGCUGAUUUUUAUUAUUUCUAUUUUUGAGAAUUUUUUGCAAAUUCAAUUUUUCGGAUUCCCAGAUGCAUAUUUGUUUGUAUAGAUAUUGCUCACUCAUCCUAAAGUUUACCCCUUAUGUUCUUUCAAAUAUCGAAUUGCAUGUUGUUGCUUUGUAUAAUAUUUUCUUGGUUGUUCUGCUACGGUGACAUUAUUCUGUCUCAAGAGGGAAGAAAAAAUUAAAAUGUUAGUUUAGGCUGAAAAAGCUUUUUGUUGCUUUGAUAUGGUUUUCCUUUCUAUUUUUGGUGUCAUGGUUUAUUCAAAGUUCUCUUUUUAACUUUUCAUUUCUGCCUAAGAAGUAGAAAAUAGAGAAAAUUAAUACCAAAUGCAGUACAAAUGCAGAUUAUAAGUUCUCUUAUUCAGGAAGAAACUCAAGUAGAUCAAAAUACAUUUCAAAACACCUAUUAAUAAAAAUCAUACUGUUUUUUGGAAAUGAUCCCAUAGAGUAAAUUGUUGAUCCUGCAUCAAAUUCAAUAGUCAAAACUUUUCUCUAACUGUUGUUGGUGGUGUUGUUUUAGUGGUAGAUAAAUUCAUCCACUCCUACCUUUCUCACUUGUUUCUACUUUCAUUAAACGGACUUGCACUCAUACUUUCAGUUUGCAUUUUCAUCAGACAAAUUGAUGAUAAUAUGAAGGAAGAAUAAUUUUAUGUUUUCACAAUCUAUUAGUUUCUUCCGUUCCUUUUUUUUUUAUUACUAAUUCUCUUUGGGAAUCAUAAAAAUGAUCAAAUAAUUAAAAAAGUUCAUGCUGACAAAAGGUUUAGGCUGCGAGAAUUAUAUAGACUGAUCCCAAUUGUCAAAAAAGCCCCUUUAAUGCAACUAUGAAUAAAUAAAGUUGAAUUAAAAGACAUCGUCUGUGACAAUGCAAUUAUUGCAUAGUCGCAAUAACACUCCGCAUAGAUGAACAUAAUUAGCUGAAAUAGUAUGAGUGAUUGGAGUAUCCUAAUUCCUGGUUCAAUUAGAACUAAAGGAACAAACAGUAAGGAAGUUCCCAUGUAUCAACUUUCAACAUAUUUAUUAUGCAGUUCCUCUUUAUUCUUGAGUAGCAAAUUUGGUUUUAACACUUUUUACAUGUCAAAGGAUAAUUUGUAUCUCUCCAGGAGAACAUUCACGUAUGAUGGCUUUAAGCACUGGUUGCACGAUGUCGAAGCUAGCAAAGGAUAAUGUUAACAUUCUGUCUAAUAUCAUCACCUUUUCAUGUCAAAAUUAUGUUAUUUUGGCUUUUGCUUAAAUGUCAUAGUUAUUUUUUUAAAAAGGAUCAUCAUUAAAUUAAACGUUGCACAUAGAUAUCAAUAGUAACUUGAAACAGGUUUAUAUAUUGCAUGAAUUUUGCGCUUAUUACUCAUCUUUAUUUCUUAUAUGGUAGUUGCGCACUAAAAUGGUUAUCCUGCAUUUUGAUAUUACAAAUUCAGGAAGAAAGUUUAUCAAUAUAAAGUGUUAAAAAAGCUGCUUAAGCAUCUGCUAAUGGAUAACUGCAUAAUAAAUUGAUGCAUAAAUGUUAACCCAAUUAGAUGCACCCCUUUAAGGGAUUGGGUAAUCUAGAAUUCUUUACUUUAAUAUUCUAUCAAUUCUGCUAUAUAUUAAACUACUACAUGUUGUUGUACAAUAUACCCUCUAAUUGAUUUGGUGGCAAAAACUCCCUUUAUUGACUAAGUUUUGAGAUUUUCUUAAUUUUUUUAGAUGAAAUUAGUGGCCAGACCAAAGCAAUUUAAUAUUUAAUUCACAAUUUAUAGAGUUGAAGGGACAACAAUAACUAGCAGGUAAAAUGGUUGUGACUACUCCAAUCAAUUCGACUGGAUAGUUAGUUCACUUCAACCCCAACCCUCUUGUGAUGAUGAUGUAACACAUGAUAUUGCCGUAGUAAGUAGUAGUACCAUUGUCUAGGAAAGAAAUAAACUAUGAGAUGCUACACAUCAAUAUCGUUUACAGUAAUUUAGAAAAUAUUACAUGUAAAUGAAAUAUUGUGAAAUUUGAGAAAUCUCAUGAGUACGUUGUACUACGGGAAUAGGCCAUAAGAGGCUAACUUAUGAGAACUUCUGCUAUGCAUUUCUAAUAUAGAAGCUUAUAUCCUACACCAUAUAUUAGACAAUUGACCAGAAUGGAUCAUACAUUAUAUGCAAUUACUUCAUUGAAAAGGAUGUUAGGAAGACAUGAAAACUGAAGGCACAUACUGUGCAUAUAAUUGAUUGUUGCUACAUGUAUUUCUACAGAUACCUGAAAUAUGUUCUUCUCCCGGAUCUGAUAACGAGUAAUGGGAUAUCUGGCAUAAGUUUCUUAUUCAUUUGGGACUUGAAUAUUGGUGUUUUUCUCACACUUUUGUUUCUUUCUCCAGUAACAUUCAUCUUCC
rnacentral:lncRNA from 1 species